CAGUCGAACGGACCUUUCGGGGUUAGUGGCGGACGGGUGAGUAACGCGUGAGAAUCUGCCUUCAGGAUGGGGACAACAGUUGGAAACGACUGCUAAUACCCGAUAUGCAGCGAUGUGAAAGAUUUAUCGCCUGGAGAUGAGCUCGCGUCAGAUUAGCUAGAUGGUGUGGUAAAGGCGCACCAUGGCGACGAUCUGUAGCUGGUCUGAGAGGAUGAGCAGCCACACUGGGACUGAGACACGGCCCAGACUCCUACGGGAGGCAGCAGUGGGGAAUUCUCCGUUGUGGUCGAAAGCCUGACGGAGCAAUACCGCGUGAGGGAGGAAGGCUCUUGGGUCGUAAACCUCUUUUCUCAGGGAAGAACAAAAUGACGGUACCUGAGGAAUAAGCAUCGGCUAACUCCGUGCCAGCAGCCGCGGUAAUACGGAGGAUGCAAGCGUUAUCCGGAAUGAUUGGGCGUAAAGCGUCCGUAGGUGGUUAUGUAAGUCUGUGGUUAAAGCGCGAAGCUCAACUUCGUAAGGGCCAUGGAAACUACAAGACUAGAGUUAAGUAGGGGUAGAGGGAAUUCCCAGUGUAGCGGUGAAAUGCGUAGAGAUUGGGAAGAACACCGGGUGGCGAAAGCGCUCUACUGGACUUAUACUGACACUGAAGGACGAAAGCUAGGGGAGCGAAAGGGAUUAGAUACCCCUGUAGUCCUAGCCGUAAACGAUGGAUACUACGUGUUGCCCGUAUCGACCCGGGCAGUGCCGUAGCUAACGCGUUAAGUAUCCCGCCUGGGGAGUACGCACGCAAGUGUGAAACUCAAGGAGUGG
rnacentral:rRNA from 1 species